UUGGAGGGCAAGUCUGGUGCCAGCAGCCGCGGUAAUUCCAGCUCCAAUAGCGUAUAUUAAAGUUGCUGCAGUUAAAAAGCUCGUAGUUGAAUUUCGGGACUAAUAUGUCGGUCGUGCCUCGGUACGUACUGGUUUAUUGGUUUCUCCUUUCUGAAGAACCAUGAUGUCAUUUAUUUGGUGUCGUGGGGAAUCAGGACUGUUACUUUGAAAAAAUUAGAGUGUUUAAAGCAGGCUCACGCUUGAAUACAUUAGCAUGGAAUAAUGAAAUAGGACGUUUGAUUCUAUUUUGUUGGUUUCUAGGAUCGACGUAAUGAUUAAUAGGGAUAGUUGGGGGCAUUAGUAUUCAAUUGUCAGAGGUGGAAUUCUUGGAUUUAUUGAAGACUAACUACUGCGAAAGCAUUUGCCAAGGAUGUUUUCAUUAAUCAAGAACGAAAGUUAGGGGAUCGAAGACGAUCAGAUACCGUCGUAGUCUUAACCAUAAACUAUGCCGACUAGGGAUCGGAUGAUGUUAAUUUUUUAAUGACUCAUUCGGCGCCUUACGGGAAACA
rnacentral:rRNA from 1 species